GAUGAACGCUGGCGGCGUGCCUAAUACAUGCAAGUCGAGCGAACGGACGAGAAGCUUGCUUCUCUGAUGUUAGCGGCGGACGGGUGAGUAACACGUGGAUAACCUACCUAUAAGACUGGGAUAACUUCGGGAAACCGGAUCUAAUACCGGAUGAUAUUUUGAACCGCAUGGUUCAAAAGUGAAAGACGGUCUUGCUGUCACUUAUAGAUGGAUCCGCGCUGCAUUAGCUAGUUGGUAAGGUAACGGCUUACCAAGGCAACGAUGCAUAGCCGACCUGAGAGGGUGAUCAGCCACACUGGAACUGAGACACGGUCCAGACUCCUACGGGAGGCAGCAGUAGGGAAUAUUCCACAAUGGGCGAAAGCCUGACGGAGCAACGCCGCGUGAGUGAUGAAGGUCUUCGGAUCGUAAAACUCUGUUAUUAGGGAAGAACAUAUGUGUAAGUAACUGUGCACGUCUUGACGGUACCUAAUCAGAAAGCCACGGCUAACUACGUG
rnacentral:rRNA from 1 species